rnacentral:rRNA from 1 species
AGCGAACGCUGGCGGCAGGCUUAACACAUGCAAGUCGAACGGGCGUAGCAAUACGUCAGUGGCAGACGGGUGAGUAACGCGUGGGAACGUACCUUUUGGUUCGGAACAACCCAGGGAAACUUGGGCUAAUACCGGAUAAGCCCUUACGGGGAAAGAUUUAUCGCCGAAAGAUCGGCCCGCGUCUGAUUAGCUAGUUGGUGUGGUAACGGCGCACCAAGGCGACGAUCAGUAGCUGGUCUGAGAGGAUGAUCAGCCACAUUGGGACUGAGACACGGCCCAAACUCCUACGGGAGGCAGCAGUGGGGAAUAUUGGACAAUGGGCGCAAGCCUGGAUCCAGCCAUGCCGCGUGAGUGAUGAAGGCCCUAGGGUUGUAAAGCUCUUUUGUGCGGGAAGAUAAUGACGGUACCGCAAGAAUAAGCCCCGGCUAACUUCGUGCCAGCCGCCGCGGUAAC